rnacentral:rRNA from 1 species
CAAGUCGCGUGCGCAGUUGCCGUAGCAAUACGGUGAUGGGCGCACGGCGCACGGGUGCGUAACACGUGGGCAAUCUGCCCUCCGAUGGGGAAUAACCCCGCGAAAGCGGGGCUAAUACCGCAUAACAUUCCUUGAGCGAUGGUUCGAGGAUUCAAAGCAGUAAUGCGUCGGAGGAGGAGCCCGCGCCCGAUUAGCUAGUUGGUGAGGUAACGGCUCACCAAGGCAAUGAUCGGUAGCUGGUCUGAGAGGAUGAUCAGCCACACUGGAACUGAGACACGGUCCAGACUCCUACGGGAGGCAGCAGUGGGGAAUCUUGCACAAUGGGCGAAAGCCUGAUGCAGCGACGCCGCGUGGGGGAUGAAGCUUUUCGGAGUGUAAACCCCUUUCGCCUGGGACGAAUGCCCGCAAGGGAGUGACGGUACCAGGAUAAGAAGCCCCGGCUAACUACGUGCCAGCAGCCGCGGUAAGACGUAGGGGGCCAGCGUUGUUCGGAAUUACUGGGUGUAAAGGGUUCGUAGGCGGUGUGGCAAGUCGGGAGUGAAAUCUCUGGGCUCAACCCAGAGGCUGCUUCCGAAACUGCUGUGCUUGAGUGUGAGAGAGGCUCGUGGAAUUGCAGGUGUAGCGGUGAAAUGCGUAGAUAUCUGCAGGAACACCCGUGGCGAAAGCGGCGAGCUGGAUCACUACUGACGCUGAGGAACGAAAGCUAGGGGAGCAAACAGGAUUAGAUACCCUGGUAGUCCUAGCCCUAAACGAUCAGGACUUGGGGUGCCGCCCGUUCGGGCGUCGUCCCGGAGCUAACGCGUUAAGUCCUGCACCUGGGGAGUACGGUCGCAAGACUGAAACUCAAAGGAAUUGACGGGGG